GGGGAUGUGGUCUAGUGGUAUGAUUUUCCCUUAGCAAUUAACCGCUAGUAUAUGGGAAAGGUCCCGAGUUCAAUUCUUGGCGUCUCCA